UACAGAGGGGGCAAGCGUUAUUCGGAAUUAUUGGGCGUAAAGGGCGCGUAGGCGGCCUGGCAAGUGGAAGGUGAAAUCCCUCGGCUUAACCGAGGAACUGCCCUCCAAACUGCUUGGCUUGAGUCCGGGAGAGGUGAGUGGAAUUCCCAGUGUAGCGGUGAAAUGCGUAGAUAUUAGGAGGAACACCGAUGGCGAAGGCAGGUCUCUGGGCCACUACUGACGCUGAGAAGCGAAAGCAUGGGGAGCGAACAGG
rnacentral:rRNA from 1 species